ACUCCUACGGGAGGCAGCAGUAGGGAAUCUUCCACAAUGGACGCAAGUCUGAUGGAGCAACGCCGCGUGAGUGAAGAAGGUUUUUGGAUCGUAAAGCUCUGUUGUUGGUGAAGAAGGAUAGAGGUAGUAACUGGCCUUUAUUUGACGGUAAUCAACCAGAAAGUCACGGCUAACUACGUGCCAGCAGCCGCGGUAAUACGUAGGUGGCAAGCGUUGUCCGGAUUUAUUGGGCGUAAAGCGAGCGCAGGCGGAAAAAUAAGUCUAAUGUGAAAGCCCUCGGCUUAACCGAGGAACUGCAUCGGAAACUGUUUUUCUUGAGUGCAGAAGAGGAGAGUGGAACUCCAUGUGUAGCGGUGGAAUGCGUAGAUAUAUGGAAGAACACCAGUGGCGAAGGCGGCUCUCUGGUCUGCAACUGACGCUGAGGCUCGAAAGCAUGGGUAGCGAACAGGAUUAGAUACCCUGGUAGUC
rnacentral:rRNA from 1 species